rnacentral:rRNA from 1 species
CGAACGCUGGCGGCAUGUCCUAACACAUGCAAGUCGAGCGCACCGCAAGGUGAGUGGCGCACGGGUGAGUAACGCGUGGGAACCUGCCCUGGAGUGGGGGAUAACCCGGCGAAAGCCGGGCUAAUACCGCAUACGUCCUGAGGGAGAAAGAUUUAUCGCUCUAGGAGGGGCCCGCGUCGGAUUAGCUAGUUGGUGAGGUAACGGCUCACCAAGGCGACGAUCCGUAGCUGGUCUGAGAGGAUGAUCAGCCACACUGGGACUGAGACACGGCCCAGACUCCUACGGGAGGCAGCAGUGGGGAAUAUUGGACAAUGGGGGCAACCCUGAUCCAGCAAUGCCGCGUGAGUGAUGAAGGCCUUAGGGUUGUAAAGCUCUUUCGGCGGGGACGAUGAUGACGGUACCCGCAGAAGAAGUCCCGGCUAACUUCGUGCCAGCAGCCGCGGUAAUACAAGGGCGAAUUCCACAGUGG